AUUGAACGCUGGCGGAAUGCUUUACACAUGCAAGUCGAACGGUAGAGGGGGCAACCCCUCGAGAGUGGCGAACGGGUGAGUAAUAUAUCGGAACGUGCCCAGUCGUGGGGGAUAACGUAGCGAGAGUUACGCUAAUACCGCAUACGAUCUAAGGAUGAAAGCGGGGGAUCGCAAGACCUCGCGCGAUUGGAGCGGCCGAUAUCAGAUUAGGUAGUUGGUGGGGUAAAGGCUCACCAAGCCAACGAUCUGUAGCUGGUCUGAGAGGACGACCAGCCACACUGGAACGGAGACACGGUCCAGACUCCUACGGGAGGCAGCAGUGGGGAAUUUUGGACAAUGGACGCAAGUCUGAUCCAGCCAUUCCGCGUGCAGGAUGAAGGCCCUCGGGUUGUAAACUGCUUUUGUACGGAACGAAAAGGUCUCUCUUAAUACGGGGGACUCAUGACGGUACCGUAAGAAUAAGCACCGGCUAACUACGUGCCAGCCGCCGCCGUAA
rnacentral:rRNA from 1 species